rnacentral:rRNA from 1 species
UACGUAGGGUGCGAGCGUUAAUCGGAAUUACUGGGCGUAAAGCGUGCGCAGGCGGUUCGUUAAGUCAGAUGUGAAAGCCCCGGGCUCAACCUGGGAACUGCAUUUGAAACUGGCGGGCUUGAGUGUGGCAGAGGGGGGUGGAAUUCCGCGUGUAGCAGUGAAAUGCGUAGAGAUGCGGAGGAGCACCGAUGGCGAAGGCAGCCCCCUGGGCCAACACUGACGCUCAGGCACGAAAGCGUGGGGAGCAAACAGG